CUGGGCCUGGUACUAGUUGUCUGCGCAUGCGUCAGUCGUUGGUGAGAUUCUGACAAAUGGAUAUUCUCGUUCACUUUUGUGACAUUUAUAUUCGUGUACUAUCGUGUACUAGAAGUCAGUUCCCGUUUUAUCAUUAUUGGAAUGGCUCUUAGCUGAAGCUUCUCUCUUCUCUGAAGCUUAGAAAACAUUAUUCUGAAGACUGAACAACAAGGGAAAAGGUAUAAAGCUUUGUCAAGCUUGUUAAGGUCAGAUAUUUUUGUGUGGGCCCUAUGCUAUCAUGUCAAGUCGUGUUCAUGUUUGGUAUUAAAAGAUCUAUAGUAUCAUCAUUAAUAUGGUGGAUCAAGUGAAGAGUGUGAGCUAGAGAACUUGGUGCUGCCAUCAUCAGCUCGUCGACAAUGACACUAUAACCUGUUUAAUACGAGAAAUUUAAUAUGUACAUGUAUACAGUAGAUCUACACGUAUUUUGAAUGUCUACUUCUCUGUACAGGAGCAAUGGCUACUAUCCAGCUAUCCCAACAUUGUUCCUCUUGGCCAUACUAACGGACAAGACUGGACAGUUUAAGGACUGGAGUAUGACCUGAUCGUUCGAGUGUUGCUGGGUAGCUCAGAGGCAUCAAGAGAAUCUACGUUUUCUCAAGCAAAGUUUAACUGAGUUACAAGUUGGGGCCUAGAAUCAGAGAAGUCCAGCAGCCUGCUAAAUCGUUGAAACGUAAUUUGAAGGCAUUCAAUCAUCUUGAAGUUGCCCUGGGUCACUGUAAUCGUGCUGCAGCACAACUGGCAACUCCCCAGGCCCUUGUGAAGCAGCUCCCUAUGUGCAUCUUUUGUGUACUCACUCUGUGCAUUUUCUGUGUACAAAUUUCGAUUAUUGAUUUAUUAAAUAUCUUUGCCGA